UGGGAAGUAGCUCAGUUCGGCAGAGCGCUCGGCUGUUAACCGAGAGGCCGUGGGUUCGAGGCCCACCUUCCCAGCCA
rnacentral:tRNA from 1 species